rnacentral:rRNA from 1 species
CACGUAGGAGGCGAGCGUUGUCCGGAAUCAUUGGGCGUAAAGAGCUCGUAGGCGGUUUGUCGCGUCUGCCGUGAAAGUCCGGGGCUCAACUCCGGAUCUGCGGUGGGUACGGGCAGACUAGAGUGAUGUAGGGGAGACUGGAAUUCCUGGUGUAGCGGUGAAAUGCGCAGAUAUCAGGAGGAACACCGAUGGCGAAGGCAGGUCUCUGGGCAUUAACUGACGCUGAGGAGCGAAAGCAUGGGGGAGCGAACAGG